CAAACGGCCCUUUUGAGGGCCAUCAAACAUUUUUAAAAGGGAUUAU
rfam:Aedes aegypti strain Liverpool supercont1.948 genomic scaffold, whole genome shotgun sequence.